rnacentral:tRNA from 1 species
GCAUCGUCUCCGCGACCGUCGAGGCGGGCGCCACCGUUCGGGCCGGCGGCGAUCCCGACGGCCGGUUCUACCCGGCGACGGUGCU